rnacentral:lncRNA from 1 species
CAGGGAGCUGGGGAGAGGAUGGGACCGGUCCUGCCUCGCAGCCUCGGAGGAGCCGGCCAUGCAACCGGAUCCUAGACUUCUUCACUCUGAGCGUGUGCAUGAGUAACUGCGGAAGCACGGAGUUCCUGCGAGUCACUCCUCUGUGUUAAUUGCCAUGGGUGUUGCUGGAAGCUGUUUCUACCCCAGGACGUCUGGAAGGAAGUGGCCGGGAAGGG